ensembl:snRNA U6 U6 spliceosomal RNA
GUGCUGACUUCGGCAGCACUUAUGCUAAAAUUGGAACAAUAGCAGAAGAUCAGCUUGGCCCCUGGGCAAGGAUGGCACUCAGAUUCACCAAGCAUUCCAUAUUUUC